UUACCGGUUUGACAUGAAUGAAAGUCCGUUUGGCACAGGUGGUGCAUGGCUGUCGUCAGCUCGUGUCGUGAGAUGUUGGGUUAAGUCCCGCAACGAGCGCAACCCUAUUUUAGUUGCCUUGGACUCUAAAAGACUGCCGGUCAUAACCGGAGGAAGGUGGGGAUGACGUCAAGUCAGCAUGCCCCUUACGCUGGGCUACACACGUGCUACAAUGGCGCACAAGGGGCAUCGCGAGAUGAGCAAUCCCAAAACGUUCGUAGUCCGGAUCGGAGUCUGCAACUCGACUCCGUGAAGUCGGAAUCGCUAGUAAUCGCGAUCAGAUGCGCGGUGAAUACGUUCCCGGGCCUUGUACACACCGCCCGUCACACCAUGGGAGUGGGUGUCCGAA
rnacentral:rRNA from 1 species